GCCGGUGUAGCUCAGUUGGUAGAGCAGCGCACUUGUAAUGCAAAGGUCGGAAGUUCGAGCCCUCUCACCGGCACCA
rnacentral:tRNA from 1 species